GUUUCUUCAUAUUCUUAUUUGCCAUCUGUAUAUCUUCUUUGUUGAGGUGUCUGAGCCUUAGCUCUAAUGAAGCCAAUUACUGUGUUGUGAGCUGCCAUCCUGAAUGACCCACAUGGCAAGGAACACAGGGCAGACCCAGGCAGCAGCUGGUGGGAAAUUGAGGUCUUCAAUCCAACAGCUUGUGAGGAGCUGAAUCUUGCCAAUAACCAUGUGAGCUUGGCAGCAGGUCCACCCUCCAGUUGAGCCUUGAAAUGACUGCCACCUCAGCUGACACCUUGAUUGACAUCUGUGAGAAAUCCUGAACUGCAGGAUCCAGUUAUUUCAUACUCAACUUCCUGACUUCAUAAACUGUUAAAUAAUUAAAGUGUGUUUUAGGUCUUUAUAGUCUAAGUAACUUGUUAUUAAACAAUAUCUAAGAUAUCUGAAUGUUAACUAAUGCACUCAAUUACUGAAGUAAUUUACAUAGAAAUUUGUACUAAAUUGGCAGGUGUUCCAUAUGAUACCUCAAGAUCUUGUUCAAUUUCCAAAAAAUGUUUUAUUAUUUUAUUUUAUUGUGGUAAGAACAAUUAACAUGAUAUCUACCUUUCUGACAAAUUUUUAAGUACACAAUAUUAUUAUUGGCUGUAAACACAAUGUUGUAUGGCAGAUCUCUAGAACUUAUUCGUCUUGACUAAAGCUUAAUGCCCCUUGAUUAUUAAAUCGUCUUUUCUCAUUUCCUUCAGUCCCUAAAAACCACCAUUCCACUCUUUGAUUCUACCAAUUUGACUGUUUUAGAUACCUUAUAUAAGUGGAAUUAUGCAGUACUUGUCUUUCUGUGACUGGCUUAUUUCACUUAGCAUAAUGCCCACAAGGUUCAUCCAUGUUGUCACGUGUUACAGAAUUUCCUUCUUUUUUCAAUGCCUUGGUGCUUCAGGGUUUUUUAUUACUGUGAUUAAAUCUUUCCUGCACAUGUGGAUCCACUCUUGAGUGUAAAGAUUUUUUUAUUUGUUAUUGAACCUCCAAAAUACACUAUUUAUUCAUUGUGAAUUUUUGUUGCAUAUUUGUUCACAAUUUUGUUUUAGUGUAAAUAUCCUUUUCUUCUCUAAAUUCCCUACCUUUAAAUACCCUAUAAGUUAUUAUCAGUUUUUUUCUGCAUUUGUGGCAUAAUACAAGGCUGUAAACUGGAUAAUCCAGUAAAAAUACUGUAAAGCAUUGUCAACAUUGAAAGGAAGCUCUCUCUCAGUUUCAUUUCAUUAUACUAUUAAUUUGUUAUCAUAUUACUUUAUUUCUUUUUAAUAUGACACAUACAUAGCUGAUUGAGUGUGCAGCCUAUUAUGACACUUAAGGAUUUUCCAUAGUGUCUCUUUAAUAGAUUUGUGUUUUUAUGAGAACAAUUUAAAUGUCAGCAUUUUUUACUUAAUGUAUAUUGUGUAAUUAUGAAAAAAGUUAUAUAGAUUUCAUAAAUAUGUGUAGCUUUUUAAAAUCAGAAUUUAAAAUCCUAUGUCUUUAUUUCAAGAAUCUUCACUUAGUCAUGAAAAUGAUACCAGACUGCUCAAUAACACAGCAAGUAAAAUUCACAUCAUCAUUGAAAAUGUCAAUAUUAAGGACAAAAACUUGAUACUUACCCCUUCAGGAUAUUUCAUGUCUGCAACUAUUAGUGAACUGAAAAGCCCUACUGGCUUGAAAACUUUAAUGAGUUUAUAUGUAAAACUUAAAACAACAAAAUACAAUUUUUAAACUUUUUUUUCCAGUCUAUUGUGGAAUAAAGGUAAACAGUUCAGUGUAUGGUAUAUGCACUUUUCUUUCUAUGGCUGGAAAAUAGCUGUAGGUUAAAUUGGGAAUAAGUUUUGGUAAUUUUUUUUAUUAGUGCUUUCAUGUUGGCCAGUGUUUCUAGUUCUCUUUAGCCUUCAUUCAUCUAUUGUUGUUAUUGAAGCUUUGCAUCUAUUUAUUGACGUACUCAAGCAACUGAAUAGCAGCAAAGAUCUAUGAGUUAUUGAAGGAAAAAGAACCAAAAAGUAUUUUUCUCCACCCUACUGCCAUACUAAGAAGGGUAUCUUGUAACUGCCAUAUUUCGGUUGACUAUGCUUGUCAUUAGACUAAGAUCCUGUAUACAAACACACACAUAUACACAUGACAUAUAUGUGCAUGGAGUAAGCAUAAUACAUCCACACACAUGUACACCCCCACUGCAUACAUUGGUGCUCAUGGAUUAAGCAUAUACAUACACAUAACUCCCACAUGCA
rnacentral:lncRNA from 1 species